GCCCGGCCCCUGCCCCUGCCCCUGCCCCGGGGGGCCCCGCUCGGAGGGAAGGCUGAGGAAUCACGUCCAUUUUUUGGUCCAGAUGGGCCCAUCUUCCAGAACGCAGGGAAGGGAAAUGUCUGUGAUGGAGCCAGCUGCGAUGCCGGUGACUUUCGAGGAGGUGGCUGUGUAUUUCACCC